ensembl:lncRNA
GACACACAUAGCCAAGCCCUGUUAAGCUGAACCCAAGGAAAAGCAGUGUCACCAGUAAGCAGUUUGAUUACAUUGAUUAUGUCCAGGAAGAAUCUUGAGAAUCUUUUAAGAAUUGUGCUUACAUGACUUUUCACUUUUCUCUGUGCCUAUGGGGAGGGAUAAAGGCCGUCACUUUCUCCCCUGGCUGUCCUGCUUGACACCAAGGUGAGUGAUUCCCAUCUCUGUUUCAGAGGUCAGCUACCCAUUUGCAAAACCUGCAGGGUCCAACUCUCUUUUCCUUUCACAAACGAACAAAUCCCCAGUAUUUCUUGGAGCAGCUCUGAGUCAGGUUUGGGUAGGUGCCACAAACCCGUCACAAGGAGCCAGGCAGCCAAGUAGGCAAAAGGCACUGCAGACACAUUCAGCUGUAUCCUUCAGGAGCUCUUUCAGAUGUAAUUCCUCUUUUGUUCAGCCUGGAGCAGAUGGUGAAUCAGAGCACAUUUGGGCAGGUGGAAAAUCUUCCAGUAGCAAUGUCUGGAGCUCUGAACUUGGCUCCUUGCUUGUCGUCCCCCCUGCCUGGCUGUGCUGGCCCAGGGUGCUGUGUCUGCUCAGAUGGCUCCAGACAGAGAAGAGGCUGGGGAGGAAAGGUGGCAGAUGGCAGCUGAAGCUGGAUCAAAGCAGGAGGCCUCACCUCCAUACAACAAGGACUGCUUCAAAAGCAAUUUGCCAACCUCGGAGCCACCUUGUUAGAUGACCUAGGAGAAGAUGUGCUGGCAAGGGUCCCUGGUCCAUCAGCAGGAGGCUGGAGCAACUGGGCUCUACUUGCAAGUUGUGUCCUGCAGCACUACAUGGGUCACCACGAAAGGAGGGCGUGUUGUGGAUGAUCUGAGUCCUGAAGCGGAUCUUAUUAAGCCGAGGCUUCAUCCGUCCGCUGCCAGAGGCUUUCCUGGUCAUCUCCUUGCCUUUGCCGGGCACCGCUGCCCCAUCGGUACCGUCAGCUUCCUCCCCAGCGCCGUGAUGGUGGUGGGAGAGCCGGUAGUUCAUGAGAUUAGACGGCAACACCUUGGAGAGCCUCCAGCGCCCGCUCCCAUUGCCAGCAUUCCCUUCCUCCUCCUCCUCCUCCUCCAGGGCCCCCACGAGGUUCCGCAUGUCCCCCGAGGCGCCCUGCUGCAGGUACUGCGCGGCCUUGCGCCCGCUGUAGUCGCGGAUGUCCACGUCGGCGUCGUAGGCUCCCACCAGCAGCUUCACGACCUCGGCGUGGCCGUGCAUGGCGGCGAUGUGCAGCGCCGUGUGCCCGCCGCUCGUGCGGGCGUUGAUGUCCACGGGCAGCCCGUGCCGCUGCGCGAAGUUCACCAGCGUGGCCAGCAGCUCCUGCCGCCCGUGCUUGGCGGCCCAGUGCAGCACCGUGAAGCCGGUGAUGAAGUCCCGCUUGCAGAGCAGCGCCGGCUCGCAGCUCAGCAGCCCCUCCAGGCUCUCCCACCGCCCGUCCGAGGCCGACAGCAUCCAGGCGUGCUCCAGGGGGUCCAGUGCCACGGAGCCGGUGGUGCUCCCCUCCUCCUCGGCGGAGGACGAGGCCACCGAGGCGCUGUCCGAGUCGCGGCCGCGGCCCGCGCCGGGGAGGGCGCCGCGCUUCAGCUGAGGGGAGCUGCCCCGCGCCGCCUCCCGCAGGCUCCGGCGGCCGCCGCCCUGCGCCGCCCCCCCCCCCCCCCCCCCCCCCCCCCCCCCCCCCCCCCCCCCCCCCCCCCCCCCCCCCCCCCCCCCCCCCCCCCCC